rnacentral:rRNA from 1 species
UACGUAGGGGGCAAGCGUUGUCCGGAUUUAUUGGGCGUAAAGAGCGUGUAGGCGGCCAGGUAGGUCUGUUGUGAAAACUCGAGGCUCAACCUCGAGACGCCGAUGGAAACCAUCUGGCUAGAGUCCGGAAGAGGAGAGUGGAAUUCCCGGUGUAGCGGUGAAAUGCGCAGAUAUCGGGAGGAACACCUAUGGCGAAGGCAGCUCGCUGGGACGUUAACUGACGCUGGAGGCGCGAAAGCUAGGGGAGCAAACGGG